rnacentral:rRNA from 1 species
AUUGAACGCUGGCGGCAGGCCUAACACAUGCAAGUCGAGCGGAGCGGCGGACGGGUGAGUAAUGCCUAGGAAUCUGCCUGGCAGUGGGGGAUAACGUCCGGAAACGGGCGCUAAUACCGCAUACUAUCAGAUGAGCCUAGGACGGAUUAGCUCGUUGGAUGGGUAAAGGCCUACCAAGGCGACGAUCCGUAUCUGGUCUGAGAGGAUGAUCAGUCACACUGGAACUGAGACACGGUCCAGACUCCUACGGGAGGCAGCAGUGGGGAAUAUUGGACAAUGGGCGAAAGCCUGACGCAGCCAUGCCGCGUGUGUGAAGAAGGUCUUCGGAUUGUAAAGUACUUUCAGCGGGGAGGCGUUACCCGCACAAGAAGCACCGGCUAACUCCGUGCCAGCAGCCGCGGUAAUAC